rnacentral:rRNA from 1 species
UACGUAGGGGCCGAGCGUUGUCCGGAGUUAUUGGGCGUAAAGCGCGCGCAGGCGGCUUCGCGCGCCCGACGUGAAAGCCCCCGGCUUAACCGGGGAGAGUCGUUGGGGACGGCGGAGCUUGAGGGCGGGAGAGGUCGGUGGAAUUCCCGGUGUAGUGGUGAAAUGCGCAGAUAUCAGGAGGAACACCGGUGGCGAAGGCGGGUCUCUGGGCCGAUACUGACGCUGAGGAGCGAAAGCGUGGGGAGCGAACAGG